AGAGCGAACGCUGGCGGCAGGCCUAACACAUGCAAGUCGAGCGCCCGUAGCAAUACGGGAGCGGCAGACGGGAUAGUAACACGUGGGAACGCGCCCUUCGGUUCGGAAUAACUCAGGGAAACUUGAGCUAAUACCGAAUACGCCCUUACGGGGAAAGAUUUAUUGCCGAAGGAACGGCCCGCGUCCGAUUAGCUAGUUGGUGAGGUAAUGGCUCACCAAGGCUACGAUCGGUAGCUGGUCUGAGAGGAUGACCAGCAUCACUGGGACUGAGACACGGCCCAGACUCCUACGGGAGGCAGCAGUGGGGAAUAUUGGACAAUGGGCGCAAGCCUGAUCCAGCCAUGCCGCGUGGAUGAUGAAGGCCUUAGGGUUGUAAAGUCCUUUUAACGGGAAGAUAAUGACGGUACCCGUAGAAUAAGCCCCGGCUAACUUCGCGCCAGCAGCCGC
rnacentral:rRNA from 1 species